AAAAGGUUUCAUUUCGUUGUAAAUAGUUUGUACAUAUUUGAUUCAUAUUUCUUCUAUUUUUUAAGGAUAGUUCAAUGAAUCUGAAUUUAGAACACUAAUGAAUUUGAUGGAACAGAAAAGAACUGAAAAAUAAACAUAUCGAAAACUUAUCCUGUCCAAACAAUAAACAACCCUAGUCCCGUUUUACCCACUCCUUUCGUAACGCACUGUAACGCACUACCACCAUUAACCGCACCUGACAGCUGACAGCUGUCAACACACUCGCUCUGUAGCUGCGAAGGGUCGAAAGAAGACGAAAAAAAAACCAACGGACGGGAGGAAGAUCGAUCUCUUGCAAGUGCGCGGAUUUUCUCGGGUGGCCAUUGUGCCGGUGGCAAGUUCUGUGAGUUCCGGAAAGUCCCCGUCUGUAAAACCCUGUAACUUUGUGGUGAAUUGUGUGACGCUAUCGGUUAAUACCGAUCAUUAGUUUCCACGAGGACGUGUGACAAGUCAUCGAGAUCCAGCUGUCUCCCGGCUCGUACGCCAUUUUGCCGCGGAAGUGAAACCUUCGAAGAAAAUCGUGUGGCUUUUGAUCCGGUUAAUACCAAGCACCAGCUUUCCGAGGACGUUCGUGAAGCCAGCCGAAAUUAGUUAGACCCCGGCGGUACGCCUUUUUCCACUACCGACAUCUCAGAGGGAAAACGACAUUCGGCGGCUGGCCCAUCAACCAUGCGGUACACAGCGAUGGAGACCCCGAGCUCCAGCAUGAACGCCGGCCCGCUUGUCGGAGAAAGCGAAAAGUUAAGGGAAACGACCACCUGCUGUUCCGUCUAGAGGAUCUGACCAUCGAUCAGCUGGUCUCCGACGUUACCUAUCGUUGGCCGCUGACCCGUCGCACGGAUACCACCUGUCAGCAAUGUUACGGUAAAGUGCAAAUUUAAA